rnacentral:rRNA from 1 species
UACGAAGGGGGCUAGCGUUGCUCGGAAUUACUGGGCGUAAAGCGCACGUAGGCGGCUUUCUAAGUCAGGGGUGAAAUCCCAGAGCUCAACUCUGGAACUGCCUUUGAUACUGGGUGUCUUGAGUAUGGAAGAGGUGAGUGGAAUUCCGAGUGUAGAGGUGAAAUUCGUAGAUAUUCGGAGGAACACCAGUGGCGAAGGCGGCUCACUGGUCCAUUACUGACGCUGAGGUGCGAAAGCGUGGGGAGCAAACAGG